rnacentral:misc_RNA from 1 species
GAUGAAGAACGUAGCGAAAUGCGAUAAGUAAUGUGAAUUGCAGAAUUCAGUGAAUCAUCGAAUCUUUGAACGCACAUUGCGCCCCUUGGUAUUCCGAGGGGCAUGCCUGUUCGAGCGUCAUAUUAACCACUCCCGCUUGCGGGGUCUUGGGCUUCGCCUCCGGGCGGGCCUUAAAAUCAGUGGCGGUGCCGUCGGGCUCUACGCGUAGUAAAUUUUCUCGCGAUAGGGUCCCGGUGGAUGCUUGCCAACAACCCCCAACUUCUUAAGGUUGAUCUCGGAUCAGGUAGGGAUACCCGCUGAACUUAAGCAUAUCAAUAAGCGGAGGA